rnacentral:rRNA from 1 species
UGGGGAAUAUUGCACAAUGGGCGCAAGCCUGAUGCAGCCAUGCCGCGUGUGUGAAGAAGGCCUUCGGGUUGUAAAGCACUUUCGGCGGGGAGGAAGGCGGUGAGGUUAAUAACCUCACCGAUUGACGUUACCCGCAGAAGAAGCACCGGCUAACUCCGUGCCAGCAGCCGCGGUAAUACGGAGGGUGCAAGCGUUAAUCGGAAUUACUGGCCGUAAAGCGCACGCAGGCGGUCUGUCAAGUCGGAUGUGAAAUCCCCGGGCUCAACCUGGGAACUGCAUUCGAAACUGGCAGGCUAGAGUCUUGUAGAGGGGGGUAGAAUUCCAGGUGUAGCGGUGAAAUGCGUAGAGAUCUGGAGGAAUACCGGUGGCGAAGGCGGCCCCCUGGACAAAGACUGACGCUCAGGUGCGAAAGCGUGGGGAGCAAACAGG